rnacentral:rRNA from 1 species
GACGAACCGUGCGAACGUUGUUCGGAAUCACUGGGCUUAAAGGGCGCGUAGGCGGGCAUUCAAGUCCGGGGUGAAAUCCUCCAGCCUAACUGGAGAAGAGCCUCGGAGACUGAGGGCCUCGAGGGAGGUAGGGGCAAGCGGAACUAUGGGUGGAGCGGUGAAAUGCAUUGAUAUCCAUAGGAACUCCGGUGGCGAAGGCGGCUUGCUGGACCUCUUCUGACGCUGAGGCGCGAAAGCCAGGGGAGCAAACGGG